ACCGAUGAUGAUGCAAUCUUUUCGCGCGUAUAUAUAUCAUCGUUCCGAGGGGUCUCGAAGUCCAGUAACUGUUUGACAUUCGUGAGAAGAAGGCCUCGUAUAGUGUCCGCCUAAGAUGACGACCCCCUACUCCUACAGAAUGAUACUGUGCCUUUGGAUCCUGGCGUUGGCGACGCUGCUGCUGCUGGCACCACCAGCAGAGAGUUCGCCAAUCGCCGAGCCCUCAGCCUUAGCCCAACGGGGACACUAUGGAGACAUCCCAUACCUCGCGCACCCAAUCUCUCUGAACGGCUUCGUCCCUCGGGAUAGCCCGUACAGCUACAACAGGGGGCACAAGAAGCCCCACAGGAGACGCAGGCCUUACUUCUUGGGCAACAAGAGGCUUCAGAGGAAACGCCAAGGCUGAGGACCUUACAGACUGGGACGCAACUCUGCGACUGUGAUAUUUAUUAUAAUACUUGUUAUUAAUUUAUCAGUGACUUGGAUCUUCUUGUUGUUGUGAGGAAUAAAGAUUAUUUUUCUCAGA